UACGUAGGGGGCAAGCGUUGUCCGGAAUCAUUGGGCGUAAAGCGCGUGUAGGCGGCCAGGUAAGACCGUUCUGAAAGCCCGGGGCUCAACCCCGGGAGGCGGAUGGAUACUGCUUGGCUCGAGUCCGGAAGAGGCGAGUGGAAUUCCCGGUGUAGCGGUGAAAUGCGCAGAUAUCGGGAGGAACACCAAUGGCGAAGGCAGCUCGCUGGGACGGUACUGACGCUGAGACGCGAAAGCGUGGGGAGCAAACAGG
rnacentral:rRNA from 1 species